UACAGAGACUGCAAGCGUUAUUCGGAUUCACUGGGCGUAAAGGGCGCGUAGGCGGCCUGAUAAGUCGGGGGUGAAAGCCUGUGGCUCAACCACAGAAUUGCCUUCGAUACUGUUAGGCUUGAGACCGGAAGAGGUAAGUGGAACUGCGAGUGUAGAGGUGAAAUUCGUAGAUAUUCGCAAGAACACCAGUGGCGAAGGCGGCUUACUGGUCCGGUUCUGACGCUGAGGCGCGAAAGCGUGGGGAGCAAACAGG
rnacentral:rRNA from 1 species